GAAGCAGUGGCAGGGCAAGGCACUUGUACUUCUUGUUUGAUCUCGCAAUAAUUGUUGAUGGAGGGCAAGUUCAGAGACGGUAGAUGCAUGAGUACUGCAAGGAGCACCCAUCCCACUAUAUAGUUGGUCCAAGACGAAUAAAGGAAUCUGGUUCUCCAGCAUUAGCAUGUUAAGCAUGAUUUGUCGUGACGCUGGCCCAUUCCAUGUUCUUUUCUGCAUAAACAAUUGAUCAGAGGCUGCAAAAUGUAGCCGUCGAGUAGCAAAAUAGCUCUGAGAAUCUACACCC
rnacentral:lncRNA from 1 species